UACGAAGGGUGCAAGCGUUACUCGGAAUUGCUGGGCGUAAAGCGUGCGUAGGUGGUGAGUUAAGUCUGUCGUGAAAGCCCCGGGCUCAACCUGGGAAUGGCGAUGGAUACUGGCUCGCUAGAGUGCGGUAGAGGAGAGUGGAAUUCCCGGUGUAGCAGUGAAAUGCGUAGAGAUCGGGAGGAACAUCAGUUGCGAAGGCGGCUCUCUGGACCAGCACUGACACUGAGGCACGAAAGCGUGGGGAGCAAACAGG
rnacentral:rRNA from 1 species